GAUGAAGAACGCAGCGAAAUGCGAUAAGUAAUGUGAAUUGCAGAAUUCAGUGAAUCAUCGAAUCUUUGAACGCACAUUGCGCCCCCUGGUAUUCCGGGGGGCAUGCCUGUUCGAGCGUCAUUUCACCACUCAAGCCUCGCUUGGUAUUGGGCAACGCGGUCCGCCGCGUGCCUCAAAUCGACCGGCUGGGUCUUCUGUCCCCUAAGCGUUGUGGAAACUAUUCGCUAAAGGGUGCUCGGGAGGCUACGCCGUAAAACAAACCCAUUUCUAAGGUUGACCUCGGAUCAGGUAGGGAUACCCGCUGAACUUAAGCAUAUCAAUAAGCGGAGUA
rnacentral:misc_RNA from 1 species